rnacentral:rRNA from 1 species
CCUCGGGAGGCAGCAGUGAGGAAUAUUGGUCAAUGGCCGGAAGGCUGAACCAGCCAAGCCGCGUGAGGGAGGAAGGCGCAGAGCGUCGCAGACCUCUUUUGCCGGGGGACAAAAGGCCGGACUCGUCCGGUCCUGAGGGUACCCGGAGAAAAAGCAUCGGCUAACUCCGUGCCAGCAGCCGCGGUAAUACGGAGGAUGCGAGCGUUAUCCGGAUUUAUUGGGUUUAAAGGGUGCGCAGGCGGCACGGCAAGCCGGCGGUCAAAUCGCGGGGCUCAACCCCGCCCAGCCGUCGGAACUGCCGGGCU